rnacentral:rRNA from 1 species
UACGUAGGGUCCGAGCGUUUGUCCGGAAUUACUGGGCGUAAAGAGCUCGUAGGUGGUUUGUCGCGUUGUUCGUGAAAACUCACAGCUCAACUGUGGGCGUGCGGGCGAUACGGGCAGACUGGAGUACUGCAGGGGGAGACUGGAAUUCCUGGUGUAGCGGUGGAAUGCGCAGAUAUCAGGAGGAACACCGGUGGCGAAGGCGGGAUCCUGGGCCAGUACUGACGCUGAGGAGCGAAAGCGUGGGGAGCAAACAGG